AUUGAACGCUGGCGGCAUGCCUUACACAUGCAAGUCGAACGGUAACGGGCCUUCGGGUGCCGACGAGUGGCGAACGGGUGAGUAAUACAUCGGAACGUGCCCGAUCGUGGGGGAUAACGAGGCGAAAGCUUUGCUAAUACCGCAUACGAUCUACGGAUGAAAGCAGGGGACAGCAAGGCCUUGCGCGGACGGAGCGGCCGAUGGCAGAUUAGGUAGUUGGUGGGAUAAAAGCUUACCAAGCCGACGAUCUGUAGCUGGUCUGAGAGGAUGAUCAGCCACACUGGGACUGAGACACGGCCCAGACUCCUACGGGAGGCAGCAGUGGGGAAUUUUGGACAAUGGGCGCAAGCCUGAUCCAGCCAUGCCGCGUGCAGGAUGAAGGCCUUCGGGUUGUAAACUGCUUUUGUACGGAACGAAAAGCCUUCUUUUAAUACAGGAGGGUCAUGACGGUACCGUAAGAAUAAGCACCGGCUAACUACGUG
rnacentral:rRNA from 1 species